rnacentral:lncRNA from 1 species
UCUGUGUUAUCCAUAUCACAGACAGGCCGAUGGUGUCCUUCUACCAUAAAACAAUUCAGAGCUCUUGCCUAUCUGAUGGGGCCUUACAAGGUCAUCUGAAGAGACCAAGGUCAUCAUGUUCUUGGAGGGUCUUGCUCCAUCAUCCAGGCUGGAGUGAAGUGGCGCAAUCAUAGCUCUCUGCAUCGUUGACCUCCUGGGCCUAAGUGAUCCUACCACCUUGAUCUCCUUGCCUUAAGUGAUCCUACCACCUUAACCUUCUGAGUAGCUGGGACUACAGGCAUGUGCUGCUACACCCAGCUAAUUUUUUUUUUAACUUUCCCCUGAGUCACUGGAAUUAUAGGCGUGCACCACCGUGCCCGGCAGUCAGUGAGUACUUACUGAGUACUGACCACAGGCCUUUCCCUCAUGGAACAUUCAUGACUGAGGAC